rnacentral:rRNA from 1 species
UACAGAGGUCUCAAGCGUUGUUCGGAUUCAUUGGGCGUAAAGGGUGCGUAGGUGGCGCGGUAAGUCGGGUGUGAAAUCUCGGAGCUUAACUCCGAAAUUGCAUUCGAUACUGCCGUGCUCGAGGACUGGAGAGGUGAGUGGAAUUCCUGGUGUAGCGGUGAAAUGCGUAGAUAUCAGGAGGAACACCGGUGGUGUAGACGGCUCACUGGACCGUAACUGACGCUGAGACACGAAAGCGUGGGUAGCAAACAGG